rfam:Gossypium hirsutum cultivar TM-1 chromosome 11, whole genome shotgun sequence
AACCUAUUGUGAAGGCAUAUUCUCAAUUAAUCAUUGUAUCUCUCUCAUGCAUCAUAUAAGGUCUCUAAAUCAAUCUGAAGAAAGAACGAGAUAUCAUUCCUCAACUC